rnacentral:rRNA from 1 species
CCUACGGGCGGCAGCAGUAGGGAAUUUUCCACAAUGGGCGAAAGCCUGAUGGAGCAACGCCGCGUGGGUGAAGAAGGUCUUCGGAUCGUAAAACCCUGUUGUUAGAGAAGAAAGUGCGUGAGAGUAACUGUUCACGUUUCGACGGUAUCUACCCAGAAAGCCACGGCUAACUACGUGCCAGCAGCCGCGGUAAUACGUAGGUGGCAAGCGUUAUCCGGAUUUAUUGGGCGUAAAGGGAACGCAGGCGGUCUUUUAAGUCUGAUGUGAAAGCCGUCGGCUUAACCGGAGUAGUGCAUUGGAAACUGGGAGACUGGAGUGCAGAAGAGGAGAGUGGAACUCCAGGUGUAGCGGUGAAAUGCGUAGAUAUAUGGAAGAACACCAGUGGCGAAAGCGGCUCUCUGGUCUGUAACUGACGCUGAGGUUCGAAAGCGUGGGUAGCAAACAGGAUUAGAUACCCUAGUAGUC